CCUGGGUUCCUCUUUAUGAGCUUUCAAAAACAAAAGCCACAGGGAGAAGACAAUGCAGCAUUCACAGGUACUGGAGGAAGAUGCUGGAAUGUUUCGUUCAUUGAAGCUGGAUGAGACCCAAAUCCUGGAGGCAGUUCUGCAGAUUUUGACACUUGGAACAAUAAGUACUCUGGUCUUCACUGGUAGACGUUGGGGCAGAGCCCACUGGUUUCCCAACCGCAGUUGAGAACAGAGGAGCGGAACUGAGGACCCGCGCUGGAUGGGGUGAGGUGAAGGCGGCGCUUGGUGCCAAGUUGAAAGCGGUGUGCCCUUCUUGACCACCCCUGAGAACAAAGGAACGCUUUCGCGAAACUUGCGCAUGGCUGCCUCACUUGCCUCAUUCUCAUCCGGGAAACUGCUGAGGAUUUUCAGGCCUGGUUUCUACAGACUCAGGAGGUCCCCGAAGCAUCUCGGCCCAUCAGCAGUUGAGGGAGUAAAGAUGGUCUCCUUGAGGCCACCUUGGACCAGCGACCUCCAGGAAGCUUCCAGCAAGCUGGCUAGCUGUCCCUCCUUCGGCCCUGUCCUCCCCCUAGACGUAAGCACAUGUGUCCUGUUCACCUGUGUGUCAUAGGCAAGCCAUGCCACCCCCGUGUCCAGUUGUGUUCCCCAUAAACAUGAGUUGAAGUUCUAAUGCCCAGAACCUGUGAGUGUCAUCUGACUUGGAAAUAAAGUUUUUGCAAAUGUAAUCAAGUUGAGAUGGGAUCAUUCAGGGGGACUUCCCUAGUGGCCCAGUGCUUAGGAUUCCACACUCCCAAUGCAGGGGGCCAGCCAGGGUUCCAUCCCUGGUCAGGGAACUAGAUCCCACAUGUUGCAACUAAAGAUCCUGCAUGACGUAAGGAAGAUUGAAGAUCCCGUGUGCCACAACUAAGACUCAGCGCAGCCAAAUAAAUAAAUAUUUUAAAAUUGACACGGGGUUGUUCAGAGUCCUGGCUUCCCUCUGCAUGCCAGUGCAGGAGAUGCAAGAGAUGCGGGUUCGAUCUGUGGGUGGGGAAGAUCCCCUGGAGGAGGAAAUGGCAACCCACUCUUCAGUAUUCUUGCCUGGCGAAUCCCAUGGACAGAGGAACCUAGUG
ensembl:lncRNA